CUAGAAUGAAGUUGGCUGGACAUAAAGUUUACUGGACCUCAAGUAGUCUGUGUCACCCGACGGGAGUCAGAAACGUCAUUUUUGUGCGGACCGGCGACUCGACGGACCCCGGCCGAGGACGCCGCUCGAACCGCGGUUGCGGAGGAGCGCGCCGAUACGAGUCGGAGACGGCGCGCGAGAGCGGUCCGGACGAAGACAUUCGGGAACCGAGGACGAAGACGCUCGUCGACUGCGGACGAAGACACCGGUCGACGCGCGAGGAAGAUGCUCCGGAACACGGGAAGAACGCCACACUCCCGAGUGCGGGAAGACACUCGUCAACGCAGAAGGAGACACGCAUCAAUGUCGGGCCGGCGGGAUUGUUUUAAAGACGAUUUAACGUGUAAAAUGAAUGUACGUGUUGUUUGUAACGAUUGUUAUAAUGUUUGUAGUAUUGUUUUUAGAGACCGACUCUGCGAAGACGGAGGAAGUCGAUACAUGUCGAGAAUGAAUUUAUUGAAGAUGUUGCCUGUGAUCACUAGGUGUUUGCACUAAUUUGGGGAGAUGAUUACGAUCGUAGAACGUCACGGAAUGCGGCGCGCACGUCAUUUGUGGCGGGACGCAUCCGUAAAUAACGGCAGC